ACUACUAUGUGUGAAUCAUCGAAUCUUUGAACGCACUUUGCACCUUGUGGCUUUUGUCACAAGGUAUACUUGUUUGAGUAUCCAAAACUACCUCACCUCCCUUUCGGGGCGAAGUGGUACUUGAAGAUUCGAUCAUGUAUCACAUACACUAUAUAUUGCAUAUAGAAUGUGUGGUACGGGUGUCGUUUCUUUAAAGGUGGUGGUCAUUUUUGUGGAAGGUCUCCGUCUGGAGCCUGACAGACUAUUGGGAUAACAUCCUGACGAUCGUUUGUCGGUUCUAUCUUGGGCGUUGACUGACCUAGACCAAUGAGAAGACAGUUUUUUAACAGAACAUGGCUUCACCGUCUUGGCAAAACAGACUUUCCAGUUUGCGUUGACAAGACAAAGUAUCAAUGGAUCUCAAAUCAAGUAAGGAUACCCGCUGAACUUAAGCAUAUCAAUAAGCGGAGG
rnacentral:rRNA from 1 species